rnacentral:rRNA from 1 species
GGUGAGUAAUGAAUCGGAACGUAUCCAAUAAUGGGGGAUAACUAGCCGAAAGGUUAGCUAAUACGGCAUACGCCAUACGGGGGAAAGCAGGGGAUCUUCGGACCUUGCGUUAAUGGAGCGGCCGAUAUCUGAUUAACUAGUUGGUGAGGUAAAAGCUCACCAAGGCGACGAUCAGUAGCUGGUCUGAGAGGACGACCAGCCACACUGGAACUGAGACACGGUCCAGACUCCUACGGGAGGCAGCAGUGGGGAAUUUUGGACAAUGGGGGCAACCCUGAU